ACGGCACACAAAUCUUAAACAACAGUGGCGGUGGGCCGAUGAAAGAGACUUCUUCACAGCAGCGCUCCAGAGAUCUCCAGCAUCCGCUGCAUGGGGUUGAAUGAGUGUGAGACUUUGAUGAAGACUUCCUGUGGCCGAUUUGAAUUUAUUCAUUAAAUCCACUGAAGGUCAAGUCCAGCGCAUUGCAUUGUGGGAUACAGUAUGAGCUGUUUGUUUUCUCCUGGCGUCCGGAUCAGACGGUUAUUACAGUCACACUGAGCGGCCGCCUGUCCUUGGCAUGACUUUCUCCUGCUCUCAGUGGAUGAAGAGGAAUAAAUGGAGGUCUGGAUGAGGAGAUGGAAGAUGAUGGAGCGAGAAAAGGGAUUCAUCUCGUUUAUUUCAGCUCCUGUCUUCUCUGAAUCCCUCACUUUCCCAUCUGGCCAGUGGGAAUGUUCCAGCUGAUCUUUAUUAAACUGCGAGAGAGAUGUGUUGAAUGACUUUGAAUUCCCAGUGAACACGGAAUGAUAAAACACACUUGUAAGUCACUUUUGAUAAACCGCGUCUGUCCGCCACACACAUCAUCACACAACUGAAGAACAGACUGUAAGUUUAGCGCUUGUUCUCUGAAACGCUCACCUACAUUCACAGUUUAAUGUCAUUAAAUGUUAUUGUGGAUGUUUUUAUUGGAUGAGAAAUGAUCUGAGACACACAUCUUGUGUUCCGCAGAGGAGAAAAAAGAUGCAAGUGUUUUGUUUUUGUUAAAGGAAAGGUUCAUCUUAAAAUCAAAAUGGUGUGAUUUUGUACUCACCCAC